GGCUCACCAAGGCAACGAUGCAUAGCCGACCUGAGAGGGUGAUCGGCCACACUGGGACUGAGACACGGCCCAGACUCCUACGGGAGGCAGCAGUAGGGAAUCUUCCGCAAUGGACGAAAGUCUGACGGAGCAACGCCGCGUGAGUGAUGAAGGCUUUCGGGUCGUAAAACUCUGUUGUUAGGGAAGAACAAGUACGAGAGUAACUGCUUGUACCUUGACGGUACCUAACCAGAAAGCCACGGCUAACUACGUGCCAGCAGCCGCGGUAAUACGUAGGUGGCAAGCGUUAUCCGGAAUUAUUGGGCGUAAAGCGCGCGCAGGCGGUUUCUUAAGUCUGAUGUGAAAGCCCACGGCUCAACCGUGGAGGGUCAUUGGAAACUGGGGAACUUGAGUGCAGAAGAGAAAAGCGGAAUUCCACGUGUAGCGGUGAAAUGCGUAGAGAUGUGGAGGAACACCAGUGGCGAAGGCGGCUUUUUGGUCUGUAACUGACGCUGAGGCGCGAAAGCGUGGGGUAGCAAACAGGAUUAGAUACCCUGGUAGUCCACGCCGUAAAGGAGUCUAAGUGUUAGAGGGUUUCCGCCCUUUAGUGCUGCAGCUAACGCAUUAAGCA
rnacentral:rRNA from 1 species